rnacentral:lncRNA from 1 species
GCAAAGCUGCUGCAGCUUGGAAAGUCGAUACAGGAGGCCACAGGACGCAGCAACAGUGAGGGACAUGCCCAAGGUCACCUAGCCUGUUGGGGAGAGUCUGCCCUGGAAUGCAGGCUUCUGCUUUCCUCUGCUCCUUCCAGCAGGAUCCACGUGGCCAGACUCCUGCAUCAGGAGCAAAGCCCAACCAGGGAGCUGGCUGCUGUUUCCUCAACGGCGCUGAAGCUCUGUGGACUGAGGGCAGCCUGCCCACCUCGCUCUGUGCCCGGCCGAGCCCCUGACACCCAGCUCAGACGUCUCCUCUUCCGAACGGCCUUCCCCGAUCUCACCACAUCCCAGGAUGGAUCAGGAGCCCAUCCAGGCUCCUCCUGCCCACCGCAGCACCCAUCCUGACCAGCCAUGAGGGGAGAGCUGCUCUUCCUGCCCCCUCCCCCCGACACACCCGUGGGGGUGCCAGU